GUCACUAUUUUUCCAAGGUUGACCUCGGAUCAGGUAGGGAUACCCGCUGAACUUAAGCAUAUCAAUAAGCGGAA
rnacentral:rRNA from 1 species